GAAGAGGGCGCACGAUUCCCAAUUCCCUGGAAUUACAGUUGGUCCCCAGCCGUCUGCUAUCGGUGCUAGGAACUGAACUCUGACCUCUGCAAGAGCACUAUGAGGUCCUAACUGGGAGCCAACUCUCCGGUAUCGCCAAUCCCUUUUAAUUCACAGGAGAACAUGAGGGGAAAUGUUGAUUUUUAUGUUUAUUGCUCACUCUCAACCAGGACUGGGAAUCGAGAGUUGGUCUGUCCAUUUCAAUAGGAAUACUUGAUUGUCAAGAACAUGGAGGAAGGAGGUGGGAGACCAGAGAUAGCCCGGUCUUCGUGUAUGCUUUAGAAAGAAUCAGAGCUACCCCACCCCCACUACCACCAGUGCCUGCACCACCACUUUCUUGAUGUCACCGUUCUUUGCAGCUUUCUCUGGGAGAAAUGCCAUAUCUGUGAGAAAAUGGAUGUCUGAGGGCUGGUCCUGGAAGUCAACCCCAGAAGCUUGCUGAAUUCACAGGAGGAAAAAGAUUUCAGCGUAUAGUCCUUGGUUCCAUUGAUCUUGGGCUAUGAAGAUCAUCACAGUAGCAGAAGCACGUGAAGAACAAGACCAUUCGUCUCCUACCAGAGAGAAAAGUGCCAAAGAGCUUCUCAUGGUGUACCAGCUGCUUCUUCCUGGUUCAGCAGACCCAUGCCAUUCAGAGGAGCCUUGCAGUUUCUUCUGGAUCAAGCCGCUGCUACUGAUUUAUGUUUGGUAUUUUGGACUGGACUGUUGUUCUGACAACAAAGACUGGAAUCGACCUAGAGAAUUACUUCUAAACAGGACCACAUCCCCCAUCGCCCAUUAAUCUUUCUUUUCCCUACCUCUGGUAGAUUGGCUAGAAGGGAGGUUGAAGAGUUUAAAAUUCCUUAUUAAAGUAGGUUUUGAAAAACCUAAACCUACAAAUUAUGAUUUAACUGGAAAUUUCAGAUGCAGGAAAAUUAAAAGAAAAACAAAACAAAACCUACAACCCCGGAUGUUUUGACUACGAACCUGCAGAAUUUAAUUUGUGUCAACAUUAUUUGGGUUACAAAAAAACAUGAUAGAGUUUGUGAAGCAAGAGUGAGUCGUGUCUGAAAAGGAAGUCAUUUUUAGCAUUCUGACAGGAGGAUGUGGUCUUCCAAAGUUAGAAAACUGUCACUUUUGGUAAAUGGAGCAACUAGCUUCCAGAGGAAAGGUCUUGAGUUGUUAGACAGGAAUUCUGAGUUCAAGUCCUAGGAUCUCCUUUGCUGAAGCAUUUGGACAAGUACCUUAUGUCUCUGAUUUUCAGUUGUUGUUGUUGUUUUGUAAGGGAGGGGUGAUUUUUCUCAAGACAGGGUUUCUCUGAGUAGCCCUGGCCAUCUCAGAACUCACUUUGUAGACCAGGAAACUAUGUGCAGAUCUGCCUGCCUGCUACCGCCUCUUGGAGCUCUGGGAUUAAAGGCAUGUGUCACCUCGUCUGGCUUGCAUUUCGGCUUCCUUGAUAAUGUGGUAGGCAAGAUUCUAUCAGCAAUUUUGUGUGUCCUUUUCUGUGUUUGUGAUUGUGUGCUGUGUGCGUGAGUACGAGACAGUGCGUGUGAGUGGGAUGUGCAUGUGGCACCACAGAGAUCAGAAGUCAAUGUCAGCUGUCUUCCUCC
ensembl:lncRNA